CUUUCUUUGCUGGCGACCGGCGCACGGGUGAGUAACACGUAUCCAACCUGCCCUUUACUCGGGGAUAGCCUUUCGAAAGAAAGAUUAAUACCCGAUAGCAUAAUGAUUCCGCAUGGUUUCAUUAUCAAAGGAUUCCGGUAAAGGAUGGGGAUGCGUUCCAUUAGGUUGUUGGUGGGGUAACGGCCCACCAAGCCUUCGAUGGAUAGGGGUUCUGAGAGGAAGGUCCCCCACAUUGGAACUGAGACACGGUCCAA
rnacentral:rRNA from 1 species